AUACGGAGGGUGCGAGCGUUAAUCGGAUUUACUGGGCGUAAAGCGCGCGUAGGCGGCCAGAUAAGUCGGAUGUGAAAGCCCCGGGCUCAACCUGGGAAUUGCAUUCGAUACUGUCUGGCUAGAGUAUGGUAGAGGGAAGUGGAAUUCCACAUGUAGCGGUGAAAUGCGUAGAUAUGUGGAGGAACACCAGUGGCGAAGGCGGCUUCCUGGCCCAAUACUGACGCUGAGGCGCGAAAGCGUGGGGAGCAAACAGGAUUAGAAACCCCAGUAGCCC
rnacentral:rRNA from 1 species